AGUAACAACCCCACUCCUCGAACCAGGUGUCUGCACUAAUUACUCUUCCUCAUUGUUAUUACCUGGUGAAAAUCAAUUUGAGAAAGGAAGGGUUUAUUUGGGUUUACCAUCCAUGAGGCAUGCCAACAAGAGCAUCCAUGAGGCAUGACAACAAGAGUGUUAGGCAGCUUGUCACAAUGUGUGCAGUGAAGAAGAGAGAAGUUCAAUGAAAAUGUUUACUGUGCUCCAUGGUUUCAAAGGGGACAACCUACAGUGGCUUGGCCCAUGCACUUGAGCAGAAUCAUUGCAUCAGGAAAUCAUGAGAGGGGACUCAACAUCCCCAAGGAUCCUUCUCCCUGUGAGCUACUUCCUCCAACUGACUCCACCUUCUAAAGGUCCUACAACCUUCCCAACAGAGCCCUCAACUGAAAUUUGAGUGAAUAACACAUGGGCCUGUGUGGCAUUUCACAUUCAAAGCAUAAUUUCAUCACUAAAGCUUGAAAUGUGAUUCUGAGGAUGGCAUUUAUUGAACCGUGUGCUUGAGGCUGAGUAAUAUACAGAUACAUCUCUCAUUUGAAGGUAUAAAUGUUCUCAUUCUGAUAUUUAAUCACACUGUGGUUAAUGUGAAGCUCAGUCAAAGUGUGGUCUCAAUGCCAGCUAGCUGUAUCACCCUGUGGAUAAGAAUAAACAACCUGGUUAUAAUUAAGUUGAAUACUUCUUUGAAAGAAGAUGAUACUUCCAGGAACACUGGCAUCUCAGUAUCAUCCCUAGAUACUUGUCCUAGUCACAAACCCAGGUCGAGCUACAUCUCAAAAGCGUUGGCUGCAUUUCUACGUGCUUGUGGCCAGGAGCCCUUACUGGUGGCUGUGAACAAUAUAUGUCUCAAAACCCCCAGACAUGAUGAGGGUUAUAUUAGAUGAAGGGAUCUUGCCUCCAGCCCAUGCUGCUGUUCAUAAUCGAUGAACUCCAGAAACGUGAGUUGGAAACUCUGCUUUUAAAAACUUCAGUGCCGGGCUGGCGAGAUGGCUCAACAGGUAAGAGCACUGACUGCUCUUCCAGAGGUCCUGAGUUCAAAUCCCAGCAACUACAUGGUGGCUCACAACCAUCCGUAAUGAGAUCUGACACCCUCUUCUGGUGUGUCUGAAGACAGCUACAGUGUACUUAUGUAUAAUAAUAAAUAAGUCUUUAAAAAAAAAAAAAA
rnacentral:lncRNA from 1 species